UACAGGGGGUGCAAACGUUGCUCGGAAUUAUUGGGCGUAAAGCGCGCGUAGGCGGUUUUGUAAGUCGGGUGUGAAAUCCCCAGGCUCAACCUGGGAACUGCAUUCGAGACUGCAUAGCUAGAGUAUGGGAGAGGGAAGUGGAAUUUCAGGUGUAGCGGUGAAAUGCGUAGAUAUCUGAAGGAACAUCAGUGGCGAAAGCGACUUCCUGGACCAAUACUGACGCUCAUGUGCGAAAGCGUGGGGAGCAGACAGG
rnacentral:rRNA from 1 species